rnacentral:rRNA from 1 species
GUUGUAUGGUUAAGUGACUAAGCGUACAGGGCGGAUGCCUUGGCAAUCAGAGGCGAUGAAGGACGUGCUAAUCUGCGAAAAGCUUGGAUGAGUCGAUAAGAGGCGUUUAAUCCAAGAUGUCCGAAUGGGGAAACCCAGUAGAUGAAGAAUCUACUAUCAAUAAAUGAAUACAUAGUUUAUUGAGGCGAACCGGGAGAACUGAAACAUCUAAGUACCCCGAGGAAAAGAAAUCAACCGAGAUUCUGUGAGUAGCGGCGAGCGAAAGCGGAAGAGCCAGUAAGUUUUAGCUAGCGUAUUAGAGGAAUUGGCUGGGAAGCCAAAUCAAAGAGGGUGAUAAUCCCGUACUCGAAAGUAUGGUAGUGGAACUAAGCUUACGAUAAGUAAGGCGGGACACGAGAAAUCCUGUUUGAAGAUGGGGGGACCAUCCUCCAAGGCUAAAUACUCCUGAUUGACCGAUAGUGAACCAGUACUGUGAAGGAAAGGCGAAAAGAACCCCGGUGAGGGGAGUGAAAUAGAACCUGAAACCCUGUACGUACAAGCAGUAGGAGCGAGGGCAACCUUGUGACUGCGUACCUUUUGUAUAAUGGGUCAGCGACUUAUAUUUUGUAGCGAGGUUAACUGAAUAAGGGAGCCGAAGGGAAACCGAGUCUUAACUGGGCGUUGAGUUGCAAGGUAUAGACCCGAAACCCGGUGAUCUAGCCAUGGGCAGGUUGAAGGUUGGGUAACACUAACUGGAGGACCGAACCGACUAAUGUUGAAAAAUUAGCGGAUGACUUGUGGCUGGGGGUGAAAGGCCAAUCAAACCGGGAGAUAGCUGGUUCUCCCCGAAAUCUAUUUAGGUAGAGCCUUGAGCGGACACCUUCGGGGGUAGAGCACUGUUUCGGCUAGGGGUCCAUCCCGGAUUACCAACCCGAUGCAAACUGCGAAUACCGAAGAGUGAUACUCAGGAGACACACGGCGGGUGCUAACGUUCGUCGUGGAGAGGGAAACAACCCAGACCGCCAGCUAAGGUCCCGAAGUCUAUAUUAAGUGGGAAACGAAGUGGGAAGGCUUAGACAGCUAGGAUGUUGGCUUAGAAGCAGCCAUCAUUUAAAGAAAGCGUAAUAGCUCACUAGUCGAGUCGGCCUGCGCGGAAGAUGUAACGGGGCUCAAAUAUAGCACCGAAGCUGCGGCAUCAGAAUUUAUUCUGUUGGGUAGGGGAGCGUUGUGUAAGCGGAUGAAGGUGGCUCGAGAGGGUUGCUGGACGUAUCACAAGUGCGAAUGCUGACAUAAGUAACGAUAAAACGAGUGAAAAACUCGUUCGCCGGAAGACCAAGGGUUCCUGUCCAACGUUAAUCGGGGCAGGGUGAGUCGGCCCCUAAGGCGAGGCUGAAAAGCGUAGUCGAUGGGAAACGGGUUAAUAUUCCCGUACUUGGUAAAGCUGCGAUGUGGGGACGGAGAAGGUUAGGUAAGCGGACUGUUGGAUAUGUUCGUUUAAGCAGGUAGUUGGAAAGGGUAGGCAAAUCCGCUCUUUCAUACAACAACGAGACGUGAUGACGAGGCUCUACGGAGCUGAAGUUACCGAUACCCAGCUUCCAGGAAAAGCCACUAAGCGAAAGGCUUUACUAAACCGUACUGAAAACCGACACAGGUGGUCAGGUAGAGAAUACUCAGGCGCUUGAGAGAACUCGGGUGAAGGAACUAGGCAAAAUAGCACCGUAACUUCGGGAGAAGGUGCGCUUACAGUAAUUGUAGUCCCUUGCGGAUGAAGGUGAAGUAAGUCGAAGAUACCAGCUGGCUGCAACUGUUUAUUAAAAACACAGCACUCUGCAAACACGAAAGUGGACGUAUAGGGUGUGAUGCCUGCCCGGUGCUGGAAGGUUAAUUGAUGGUGUUAUCGAAAGAGAAGCUCCUGAUCGAAGCCCCAGUAAACGGCGGCCGUAACUAUAACGGUCCUAAGGUAGCGAAAUUCCUUGUCGGGUAAGUUCCGACCUGCACGAAUGGCAUAAUGAUGGCCAGGCUGUCUCCACCCGAGACUCAGUGAAAUUGAAAUCGCCGUGAAGAUGCGGUGUACCCGCGGCUAGACGGAAAGACCCCGUGAACCUUUACUAUAGCUUGACACUGAACAUUGAAUUUUGAUGUGUAGGAUAGGUGGGAGCCUUUGAAGCAGUGACGCCAGUCAUUGUGGAGGCGACCUUGAAAUACCACCCUUUAACGUUUGAUGUUCUAACGAAGUGCCUGAAACGGGUACUCGGACAGUGUCUGGUGGGUAGUUUGACUGGGGCGGUCUCCUCCCAAAGCGUAACGGAGGAGCACGAAGGUUUGCUAAUGACGGUCGGACAUCGUCAGGUUAGUGCAAUGGUAUAAGCAAGCUUAACUGCGAGACGGACAAGUCGAGCAGGUGCGAAAGCAGGUCAUAGUGAUCCGGUGGUUCUGAAUGGAAGGGCCAUCGCUCAACGGAUAAAAGGUACUCCGGGGAUAACAGGCUGAUACCGCCCAAGAGUUCAUAUCGACGGCGGUGUUUGGCACCUCGAUGUCGGCUCAUCACAUCCUGGGGCUGAAGUAGGUCCCAAGGGUAUGGCUGUUCGCCAUUUAAAGUGGUACGCGAGCUGGGUUUAGAACGUCGUGAGACAGUUCGGUCCCUAUCUGCCGUGGGCGUUGGAUGAUUGAUUGGGGCUGCUCCUAGUACGAGAGGACCGGAGUGGACGCAUCACUGGUGUUCCAGUUGUCUCGCCAGAGGCAUUGCUGGGUAGCUAAAUGCGGAAGAGAUAAGUGCUGAAAGCAUCUAAGCACGAAACUUGCCAAGAGAUGAGUCAUCCCUGACUUUAAGUCAGUAAGGGUUGUUGUAGACUACGACGUAGAUAGGUUGGGUGUGUAAGUGUAGUGAUACAUUGAGCUAACCAAUACUAAUUGCCCGAGAGGCUUAACCAUACAACGCUCAAG